rnacentral:rRNA from 1 species
ACAGGGAUUGCCCUAGUACGGCGAGUGAAGCGGCAACAGCUCAAAUUUGAAAUCUGGCUCUUUCAGAGUCCGAGUUGUAAUUUGCAGAGGGCGCUUUGGCUUUGGCAGCGGUCCAAGUUCCUUGGAACAGGACGUCACAGAGGGUGAGAAUCCCGUACGUGGUCGCUAGCUAUUGCCGUGUAAAGCCCCUUCGACGAGUCGAGUUGUUUGGGAAUGCAGCUCUAAAUGGGAGGUAAAUUUCUUCUAAAGCUAAAUAUUGGCCAGAGACCGAUAGCGCACAAGUAGAGUGAUCGAAAGAUGAAAAGCACUUUGGAAAGAGAGUCAAACAGCACGUGAAAUUGUUGAAAGGGAAGCGCUUGCAGCCAGACUUGCUUGCAGUUGCUCAUCCGGGCUUUUGCCCGGUGCACUCUUCUGUAGGCAGGCCAGCAUCAGUUGGGGCGGUGGGAUAAAGGUCUCUGUCACGUACCUCUCUUCGGGGAGGCCUUAUAGGGGAGACGACAUACCACCAGCCUAGACUGAGGUCCGCGCAUCUGCUAGGAUGCUGGCGUAAUGGCUGUAAGCGGCCCGUCUUGAAACACGGACCAAGGAGUCUAACAUCUAUGCGAGUGUUUGGGUGUCAAGCCCGAGCGCGUAAUGAAAGUGAACGGAGGUGGGAACCCGCAAGGGUGCACCAUCGACCGAUCCUGAAGUUUACGGAAGGAUUUGAGUAAGAGCAUGGCUGUUGGGACCCGAAAGAUGGUGAACUAUGCUUGAAUAGGGUGAAGCCAGAGGAAACUCUGGUGGAGGCUCGCAGCGGUUCUGACGUGCAAAUCGAUCGUCAAAUUUGGGCAUAGGGGCGAAAGACUA